GACGAACGCUGGCGGCGUGCUUAACACAUGCAAGUCGAGCGGUAAGGCCCUUUCGGGGGUACACGAGCGGCGAACGGGUGAGUAACACGUGGGUGACCUGCCCUCAGCUCUGGGAUAAGCCUGGGAAACCGGGUCUAAUACUGGAUAUGACUCCAUGACGCAUGUUGUGGGGUGGAAAGCCUUGUGCGGCUGAGGAUGGGCCCGCGGCCUAUCAGCUUGUUGGUGGGGUGAGGCCUACCAAGGCGACGACGGGUAGCCGGCCUGAGAGGGCGACCGGCCACACUGGGACUGAGACACGGCCCAGACUCCUACGGGAGGCAGCAGUGGGGAAUCUUGCGCGAAU
rnacentral:rRNA from 1 species